rnacentral:rRNA from 1 species
ACGGGAGGCAGCAGUGGGGGAUAUUGCACAAUGGGCGAAAGCCUGAUGCAGCAAUGCCGCGUGAGGGAAGAAGGUUUUCGGAUUGUAAACCUCUGUCCCCUGUGACGAACAAAUGACGGUAGCAGGGGAGGAAGCCACGGCUAACUACGUGCCAGCAGCCGCGGUAAUACGUAGGUGGCAAGCGUUGUCCGGAUUUACUGGGUGUAAAGGGGGCGCAGGCGGGAGAGCAAGUCAGCGGUGAAAUACAUGGGCUUAACCCAUGAACUGCCGUUGAAACUGUUCUUCUUGAGUGAAGUAGAGGUAGGCGGAAUUCCGAGUGUAGCGGUGAAAUGCGUAGAUAUUCGGAGGAACACCAGUGGCGAAGGCGGCCUACUGGGCUUUUACUGACGCUGAGGCCCGAAAGUGUGGGGAGCAAACAGGAUUAGAUACCCUGGUA